UAGGGAAUCUUCCACAAUGGACGAAAGUCUGAUGGAGCAACGCCGCGUGAGUGAAGAAGGGUUUCGGCUCGUAAAGCUCUGUUGGUAGUGAAGAAAGAUAGAGGUAGUAACUGGCCUUUAUUUGACGGUAAUUACUUAGAAAGUCACGGCUAACUACGUGCCAGCAGCCGCGGUAAUACGUAGGUGGCAAGCGUUGUCCGGAUUUAUUGGGUGUAAAGGGAGCGCAGACGGCAUGGCAAGCCAGAUGUGAAAGGUGGGGGCGUCAACCCCCAAGCUGCAUUUGGAACUGUCAAGCUAGAGUAUCGGAGAGGUAAGUGGAAUUCCUAGUGUAGCGGUGAAAUGCGUAGAUAUUAGGAGGAGCACCAGUGGCGAAGGCGGCUUACUGGACGAUAACUGACGUUGAGGCUCGAAAGCGUGGGG
rnacentral:rRNA from 1 species